UCGAAUCCUGCAAAGCAGAUGACCGCGAACUUGUACAACCCUCGAGAGUCGGGAGGGGCGAGAAAUCGCUUUUUUCGAUUCUCACCGCAUCCUAUUUGGCUUGCGAAACGAACUAAACCCCGGCGCGGAAAGCGCCAAGGAAAACUUGAACUGAUUGCCUGUGCCUCGUUGCCCCGUUCGCGGUGUGCUCGCGAGGUGCGAUGGCGUCUAAACGUAACC
rnacentral:misc_RNA from 1 species